UACGUAGGGGGCAAGCGUUGUCCGGAAUCAUUGGGCGUAAAGAGCGCGUAGGCGGCCCGGUAAGUCCGCUGUGAAAGUCAAGGGCUCAACCCUUGAAUGCCGGUGGAUACUGUCGGGCUAGAGUCCGGAAGAGGCGAGUGGAAUUCCUGGUGUAGCGGUGGAAUGCGCAGAUAUCAGGAGGAACACCUAUAGCGAAGGCAGCUUGCUGGGACGAAACUGACGCUAAGGCGCGAAAGCGUGGGGAGCGAACAGG
rnacentral:rRNA from 1 species